CCCUUCCAGUUUGCAAGCAUCGAACAACGAGGAGUAAGGUUGAGAAUUGAGUGUCCUGAAAAUCGCAAUAUCUUCAACUCUAUCUCCAACUCCAAAAUCUUCACUGCGUCGAUCACAAAAAAAUGACGACGAAAUUUCAAAUGUUCACCGGAAUACCCUCCGCGCCACUUCAACCUUCUUCCUCUUCCAUCCUCAAGAAGCCUCUCGUCACUUCCUUCUUCGGCAGACCAGUGGACACUUUGAAAUUUAGAGGAGUGAGGACUGCGAAACGGGUGCGAGGCGGAGGAGCGAUCGGUGCCAGCAUGAACCUAUUUGAUAGGUUUGCGAGAGUCGUGAAGUCUUAUGCAAAUGCUCUUGUGAGUUCGUUUGAAGAUCCGGAGAAAAUCUUGGAUCAAGCUGUGCUUGAAAUGAAUGAUGAUUUGACUAAAAUGCGGCAAGCUACAGCACAAGUAUUAGCAUCUCAAAAGCGAAUGGAAAAUAAAUACAAGGCCGCACAACAAGCUUCUGAAGAGUGGUAUCGUAAAGCACAACUUGCUCUUCAGAAAGGUGAAGAAGAUCUUGCUCGUGAAGCACUUAAGCGGCGUAAAUCUUUUGCAGAUAAUGCCAGUGCUUUGAAAGCUCAACUUGAUCAGCAAAAGAGUGUUGUGGACAAUCUUGUCUCAAAUACACGCCUUUUGGAAAGUAAAAUUCAGGAGGCGAGGUCGAAGAAGGAUACUCUAAAAGCACGAGCUCAAUCUGCAAAGACUGCAACCAAGGUGAGUGAGAUGCUGGGAAAUGUCAAUACAAGCAGUGCUCUUUCAGCUUUUGAAAAAAUGGAAGAGAAAGUGAUGACAAUGGAGUCCCAAGCUGAAGCUCUGGGCCAGUUGACAACUGACGAUCUUGAUGGGAAGUUUGCAUUGCUUGAGAGCUCAUCAGUUGAUGAUGACCUUGCAAAUUUGAAGAAAGAAUUGGCUGGUAGUUCAAAGAAAGGAGAGCUUCCUCCUGGAAGAAGUAGCACCACUAGCACCAAGACUGGAAACCCAUUUCGAGAUGCUGACAUUGAGAUAGAACUUGAGCAACUGAGAAAAAGAUCAAAGGAGUUUUAAAGUUUUAGUUGCCUCCUGACUUUGGAUGUAAACAUCUCCAACGAGGAGCAAGUUGUAACGCUGCAUGGAUAUGGAAAAGCAGUACUUGGAGCAAGAAAGAUACAUUGAUAGCGUGAAGCUGAAUGUUCGAUGUUUCAUAUUUCAAAUUAUAGGAAAUUUUUUCACCGUGGUUACUCUUUAAUGAAAUCAGUACAUGGGCGCACUCAAAUCAUUUAUUGACAUCUCUGAUAUUAAUAUGUCAUGAUCUAAAAUGAGCAACUAUAAACAUUUUCCCGUAAAUAUAACUCAGAUGAUAAGAGGUAGUAGAGUCAUUGAUAUUAUAGGAUGCUAGUUCAAAU